UACGUAGGGGGCAAGCGUUGUUCGGAAUUACUGGGCGUAAAGGGCGCGUAGGCGGCGCGUAAAGUCGGACAUGAAAGCAUUGGGCUUAACCCGAUGGCUGCGCCCGAUACUUGCGUGCUUAGAGUGCGGGAGAGGCAAUCGGAAUUCUCGGUGUAGCGGUGAAAUGCGUAGAUAUCGAGAGGAACUCCGGUGACGAAGGUGGGUUGCUGGACCGACACUGACGCUGAGGUGCGAAAGCUAGGGGAGCAAACGGG
rnacentral:rRNA from 1 species